CAGCGUCUUCAGGGCGGGGCGAAACUCCCCACCGGCGGUAGGUUUCCGUAAGGAAACGAGCCCGCGAGCGCUCCCGGUGUCAUGCCGGGAGGUCAGCAGAUCCGGUUCGAUGCCGGAGCCGACGGUUACAGUCCGGAUGAAAGAAGACGGCG
rnacentral:ncRNA from 2 species